CAAGAGCCGGGCGGCGGUAACGCCGCCAACCCCGCCAGGUUCGAAAGAAAGCAACGGUAACGGUUGUGCCGGGUGUCCGGCUCUUAAGA
rnacentral:SRP_RNA from 1 species